rnacentral:RNase_P_RNA from 1 species
UGAGCAGAACGGGUGAUCGCGGCUGCAGAUCCCGAAAGGGUGCAGGUGAGGAAAGUCCGGGCUUCACAGGGCAGGAUGCCGGUUAACGGCCGGCGGAGGCGACUCCAGGGAAAGUGCAACAGAGAGCAGACCGCAAAGUGCUGCGUAAGCAGUGCUUUGUAAGGGUGAAAGGGCAGUGUAAGAGACUACCGGCCAUGUGGUAACACAGGGCGCAUUGUAAACCCCAUCCGAAGCAAGACCGAACAGAAGGUUACGGCCGGCCCGGCCAAUCCUUCAGGUGGGUCGCUUGAGACUGCCGGCGACGGCAGUACUAGACAGAUGAUCAUUCAAGACAUAACCCGGCUUACAGUUCUGCUCACCUU